GAUGAAGAACGCAGCGAAAUGCGAUAAGUAAUGCGAAUUGCAGAAUUUCCGUGAGUCAUCGAAUCUUUGAACGCACAUUGCGCCCGCCAGCAUUCUGGCGGGCAUGCCUGUUCGAGCGUCAUUUCAACCCUCGCAGCCCAUCUGGGCAGCGGUGUUGGGGACCGGCACCACCGGCGAAGCCCUUAGGGGCCCAGCCGGCGCCGCCCCCGAAAUACAGUGGCGGUCUCGCUGCAGCCUCCCUUGCGUAGUAGCACACCUCGCACCGGAGCGCAGCGCGGCCACGCCGUAAAACCCCCGACUUUCUGAGUUUGACCUCGAAUCAGGUAGGAAUACCCGCUGAACUUAAGCAUAUCAAUAAGCGGAGGA
rnacentral:misc_RNA from 1 species